UAGUUUAUAGAGCAAGAUGAAUAAUCUAAGCGAAAGCGACUAUAAUAAGUGGAUCAGAAAUAGUUUUAUGAACUAGACCCGAAGCCAAAUGAUCUUACCAUGGCCAGGCUAAAAAAGGGCCGAACAGGUGAAUGUUGCAAAAUUCUCUGAUGAGCUGUGGUAAGGGGUGAAUCUUUCGCCCUCAUAACGAGUGAUUGUUAUUGAUAAAUCUAACUCAUAACGGUGAAGCCUAAGGUUCUCAUCCAAAGAACUAUGGUAAUACCGUGGGAAGUCUUAUUAUUGUAGGAACUACUUUUGAUUAAUCUAAUAUAUUAAUCCAUUAAUAAUGACCCCGUAACGACUGAUUUGAAAGAAGAGACUCUGAAUUUAUUUCAUUGUAACACGUUAGCACUCUAUUGUUCCAAUCUACUAUGAUUCUAUGUGAUAAAUAAAAAUAGUUAAAAAUCUAAGGUAGAUAUAGAGUUGAAGGUAUAGUCUAAACUAUAAUGAAAAUUAUAGGCUUAUAAAAUAUAUGAUUUUAAUAAGCGCGCAUUGGAAAGGCCAAUCUAAUUUGGAUGAUAGCUGG
rnacentral:ncRNA from 1 species